rnacentral:rRNA from 1 species
CCUACGGGAGGCUGCAGUGGGGAAUAUUGGACAAUGGGGGGAACCCUGAUCCAGCCAUGCCGCGUGUGUGAAGAAGGCCCUCGGGUUGUAAAGCACUUUCAGUGAGGAAGAACGCCUGGUGGUUAAUACCCAUCAGGAAAGACAUCACUCACAGAAGAAGCACCGGCUAACUCCGUGCCAGCAGCCGCGGUAAUACGGAGGGUGCGAGCGUUAAUCGGAAUUACUGGGCGUAAAGCGCGCGUAGGUGGCUUGAUAAGCCGGUUGUGAAAGCCCCGGGCGCAACCUGGGAACGGCAUCCGGAACUGUCAAGCUAGAGUGCAGGAGAGGAAGGUAGAAUUCCCGGUGUAGCGGUGAAAUGCGUAGAGAUCGGGAGGAAUACCAGUGGCGAAGGCGGCCUUCUGGACUGACACUGACACUGAGGUGCGAAAGCGUGGGUAGCAAACAGGAUUAGAUACCCGAGUAGUC